rnacentral:siRNA from 1 species
UUCGAUCGGAGUUUUGAUCGGCGA